rnacentral:rRNA from 1 species
ACUAAGCCAUGCGAGUCGAAUGUUCUUCGUGAACAUGGCGGACUGCUCAGUAACACGUGGACAACCUACCCUUGGGUCUGGCAUAAUCCUGGGAAACUGGGUAUAAUUCCAGAUAGGUCACAGAUGCUGGAAUGCACUGUGGCCGAAAGCUCCGGCGCCCAAGGAUGGGUCUGCGGCCUAUCAGGGUUGUAGUGGGUGUAACGGACCUACUAGCCUACGACGGGUACGGGUUGUGAGAGCAAGAGCCCGGAGAUGGAUUCUGAGACACGAAUCCAGGCCCUACGGGGUGCAGCAGGCGCGAAAACUUUACAAUGCGGGAAACCGUGAUAAGGGAAUCUCGAGUGCCAGCAUAUAAUGUUGGCUGUCCAGAUGCCUAAAAAGCAUCUGUUAGCAAGGGCCGGGCAAGACCGGUGCCAGCCGCCGCGGUAACACCGGCGGCCCGAGUGGUAACCGCUUUUAUUGGGUCUAAAGGGUCUGUAGCCGGCCAAGUAAGUCCCUUGGGAAAUCUGGCAGCUUAACUGUCAGGCUGCUAGGGGAUACUGCUAGGCUUGGGACCGGGAGAGGUGAGAGGUACCUUGGGGGUAGGGGUGAAAUCUUGUGAUCCUCGGGGGACCACCAGUGGCGAAGGCGUCUCACCAGAACGGGUCCGACGGUAAGGGACGAAAGCUAGGGGCACGAACCGGAUUAGAUACCCGGGUAGUCCUAGCCGUAAACGAUGCUCGCUAGGUGUCAGUCACGGUGCGACCGUGAUUGGUGCCGUAGGGAAGCCGUGAAGCGAGCCACCUGGGA